UACAGAGGGUGCAAGCGUUGUUCGGAUUCACUGGGCGUAAAGGGUGCGUAGGUGGCUGGGUAAGUUUGAUGUGAAAUCUCCGGGCUUAACCCGGAAAUGACAUUGAAUACUAUCUGGCUGGAGGUUUGGAGGGGGGACUGGAAUUCUCGGUGUAGCAGUGAAAUGCGUAGAUAUCGAGAGGAACACCAGUGGCGAAGGCGAGUCCCUGGACAACACCUGACACUGAGGCACGAAAGCUAGGGGAGCAAACAGG
rnacentral:rRNA from 1 species